AGGAAAAUUACCGAAAGAUGAUGU
rnacentral:siRNA from 1 species